UACGUAGGGUGCAAGCGUUGUCCGGAAUUAUUGGGCGUAAAGAGCUCGUAGGCGGUUUGUCUCGUCUGCUGUGAAAACUCGGGGCUUAACCCCGGGCCUGCAGUGGGUACGGGCAGACUAGAGUGCGGUAGGGGAGACUGGAAUUCCUGGUGUAGCGGUGAAAUGCGCAGAUAUCAGGAGGAACACCGGUGGCGAAGGCGGGUCUCUGGGCCGUAACUGACGCUGAGGAGCGAAAGCGUGGGGAGCGAACAGG
rnacentral:rRNA from 1 species